UGGGGAAUAUUGGACAAUGGGGGAAACCCUGAUCCAGCAAUGCCGCGUGAAUGAUGAAGGCCUUAGGGUUGUAAAGUUCUUUUGUUGGGGAAGAUUAUGACGGUACCCAACGAAUAAGCUCCGGCUAACUUCGUGCCAGCAGCCGCGGUAAUACGAAGGGAGCUAGCGUUGUUCGGAAUUACUGGGCGUAAAGGGCGCGUAGGCGGCGCCAUAAGUCAGAUGUGAAAGCCCCGGGCUUAACCUGGGAACUGCAUUUGAUACUGUGGUGCUAGAGUGAGAAAGAGGAGAGUGGAAUUGCGAGUGUAGAGGUGAAAUUCGUAGAUAUUCGCAGGAACACCAGUGGCGAAGGCGACUCUCUGGUUCUUAACUGACGCUGAGGCGCGAAAGCGUGGGGAGCAAA
rnacentral:rRNA from 1 species